rnacentral:rRNA from 1 species
CCUACGGGUGGCAGCAGUAGGGAAUCUUCCACAAUGGGCGAAAGCCUGAAGGAGCAACGUCGCGUGGGUGAAGAAGGUCUUCCGAGCGUAAAACCCUGUUGUUAGAGAAGUAAAUGCGUGCGAGUAACUCUUGACGUUUCGACGGUAUCUAACAAGAAAGCCACGCCUACCUACGUGCCAGCCGCCGCGUUAAGACGUAGGUGGCAAGCGUUAUCCGGAUUUAUUUGUUGUAAAGGGAACGGAGGUGGUCUUUUAAGUCUGAUGUGAAAGUCUUCGGCUUAACCGGAGUAGUGCAUUUGAAACUGGGAGACUUGAGUGCAGAAGGGGAGGGUGGAACUCCAUGUGUAGCGGUGAAAUGCGUAGAUAUAAUGAAGAACACCAGUGGCGAAAGCAGCUGUCUGGGCUGUAACUGACGCUGAGGUUCGAAAGCGUGGGUAGCAAACAGGAUUAGAUACCCGGGUAGUC